UACGGGGGGAGCAAGCGUUGUUCGGAUUUACUGGGCGUAAAGGGCGCGUAGGCGGCCACCUCAAGUCGGUUGGGAAAUCUCCGGGCUUAACCCGGAAAGGUCAAUCGAUACUGCGGGGCUAGAGUACCAAAGAGGGUCGCGGAAUUCCCGGUGUAGAGGUGAAAUUCGUAGAUAUCGGGAGGAACACCGGUGGCGAAGGCGGCGACCUGGGUGGAUACUGACGCUGAGGCGCGAAAGCGUGGGGAGCAAACAGG
rnacentral:rRNA from 1 species